rnacentral:rRNA from 1 species
AUACGGAGGACGCGAGCGUUAUCCGGAUUCAUUGGGUUUAAAGGGUGCGCAGGCGGCCGUGCAAGUCAGCGGUGAAAGCCCGGGGCUCAACCCCGGAAGUGCCGUUGAUACUGCGUGGUUGGAAUGCGGUUGAGGCGGGCGGGAGCGGGGGUGGAGCGGUGGAAUGCGUAGAUAUGCCACAGAACGCCGAUAGCGGAGGCAGCUCGCCAGGCCUGCAUUGACGCUCGGGCACGAAAGCGUGGGGAUCGAACAGGAUUAGAUACCCUGGUAGUCCACGCCGUAAACGAUGGGCGCUCGUCGUUGGCGACAGACAGUCGGCGGCCAAGCGAAAGCGAUAAGCGCCCCACCUGGGGAGUACGGUCGCAAGGCUGAAACUCAAAUGAAUUGACGGGG